rnacentral:rRNA from 1 species
GUGACAGCCGCCGCGGUAAUACAGAGGGUGCAAGCGUUGUCCGGAAUUACUGGGCGUAAAGAGCACGUAGGUGGUCUGCUGCGUCGGUGCUGAAACCUGCAGGCUUAACCUGUAGUCGCGUGCCGAUACGAGCAGACUGGAGGCAGGCAGAGGGUGGCGGAAUUCCGGGUGUAGUGGUGAAAUGCGUAGAGAUCCGGAGGAACGCCUGUGGCGCAAGCGGCCACCUGGGCCUGUCCUGACACUGAGGUGCGAAAGCGUGGGGAGCGAACCGGAUUAGAAACCCUUGUAGUCC